rfam:TPA: Aspergillus nidulans FGSC A4 chromosome VIII
UCAUAUGAUGAACUGUUUAUUCACACUGUUUGACCCUGCACUCUGUGCUGGGAAUGAACAUCACUUACAAAAAUCUGAUUUAAUGAGGUGAGU